AUCGUCACUAUGGAAAUUGUUGGAAAUUCUUGGAAAACACAGCCAGAAUGGUCCCAAGGCUAAUCAGCGAGCAGAAGACUGACCACACUCAGCCAAAGGCCACGCCAGGGGUGUCGAGGGAACCCCGACCAGCCGUGUCCACCACCAGCGGCCCACGAGUCCCACGACACCCCGGCUGCCACCACUCUGAGUGGCCAGGACCUGGCCUCGCUGUCUGGCCCCUGGCCUUCCCUGGCUCCCACCUCCAGACAAGCCAGAGGAGCCCAUGGGCGUCGCACCCCACAGAGGCCCAGAUCUCCUCUAGCUCCCUUGGACCCACACCUGCGACAGGUGCACCGGGGGCCGGUCCCUGCCCCUGAAGCCUCUCAGGACUCCUGCUUUCCGACUUCCUGCCAAACACAAGUGAUGGUGGCUGAUGCUCACGCCAGGACCAGCUCCAAGUGCACAGCCUCUGUCCUCACUGGGGGGACCCUCAUUUAUUCCCGGGGACAGCAUCUCAACAUGAAGCGCAACUGAUACCUGGGCAAGUCAAGGACAGACUGCUGACGCUUGCGAGUACACCGCACCUCGGGGUCACCUGGAGGGACCCCACAAAGGAGGGUCCAUGACAGUAAUAUGCUAACAUCAGUAGCCAGAGGGCCUUUUUUUGGAUUCCUUCUUAGGUCGCUAUUGUCUCCCUAACUUCCUCACCCGAAAAAUAAGAUUUUCACCUCCAGGGGAGGUAUCUCUAGGAUGAGGGAUUUUCAGUGCUAAGAGGGACUUUAUCCCAGGAUGAGGGGCCACCCAAUCUGGAAAACUGGCUCACCUACUUUUUCCUGUGUAUCAUACUAUCAUCGAACCAGGAUUACAAGCCAGGAAAAUCCACGGGCCUCCCAUGAGUCCUGCCUGUCUCAUUCUUCAUAUCCAAGCAGUUCCCAGAGAACUCUUGGAGUCCACUCUAGAAGAACAGCACCUGAGAAGAUACGCACACUGCUUGAUACUUGUGUUCGCCGUCGGUUAGACCAAAUGCGUUCCUAUUAUCUUUCAACUCAGCUGUGCUCGGCAGCAGACAACCUGCAAUCUGAUCUCUUCUGGGUAUCUGCCUCCAGAGAAGUCUGUCAUCCGUGCUCCCUACCACCUUUGGAACACCCACCGCGUCCCUUCGUCAGCUCUACCAAGCGCACGGCCAGUGAGGCAGAAGCCGCUGGGCAGUAGCCAGAGCUGGAAUUUUCCCUGGCCUUCAUCGUGCUGAAAUCCACCACCGGGGACACCUGGUGUUAUUCGGAUUUGCUUUUCACAUCACCCGUUUGUGCUCUUGGUUUACUUGGGAAACCUAAACUACAGCAAUAUGUAUUCCCACUACAUUUUCAUCAUCAUCCUCUGUGUCACCUCCAAAAUGUGUGCUUCUCCACCGUCAACUGCUUCCAGAAUCUAGAUUCUAUACUUAUUCAAAAUACAUGAUGACUAUCUCCUAUAUCUCAGGGUAAAAUUACCUUCAAUCCUUUUUUGGGAGAUUAGAAUGCAUCCUUAAACAAAUAUGCACACCCACGGUAGUGAGUGCAUGUAUGUGUGAGCAUGUGUGAGAUGUGGUGACUAGGAAAGGAAGCAAUGGGGGGUAAUUCCUAAGUUUAAAAUAAUUAGUGUGCAUGUAAAUAUAGAGACUAGCCCAAAUUAUCAUCGUAUCUAUAAAAAAGUUAUGAGUGAGGCAGUGAGGCUCUGAUGUCAGGGCUUUACGGACCAUGUUGACCCUGAGAACAGUGGGGAUCUCUUUCAGAUCCUGAGAACUGAGUUUGUUUUUAACUAUAAGGAGUAGCUACCUGUGCAGUAGAAUUUGGGGAAUUCCACAUGAUGACCUACCUCAUGGUGGCACUGUGAGACAUGGCCAUCACGGAGAAAAUAAAAUGUAUUCACCCCCAAUUUAUAAAGCGUGA
rnacentral:lncRNA from 12 species